GUCCACGCCGUAAACGAUGAGAACUAGUUAUUGGGGGUAUUGACUCCCUCGGUAACGCAGCUAACGCAUUAAGUUCUCCGCCUGGGGAGUACGGUCGCAAGACUAAAACUCAAACAAAUUGACGGGGGCCCGCACAAGCGGUGGAUUAUGUGGUUUAAUUCGAAGCAACGCGCAGAACCUUACCUGGGCUUGAACUCCUACGAACGUGUCAGAAACGACAUGGUGUCCGCAAGGAAAUGUAGUGAGAGGUGCUGCAUGGCUGUCGU
rnacentral:rRNA from 1 species